GAUUCCUUCUACCUUUCCUCCAACCGCCUCAUCUGGACUAUGUUCUUCAAUAUGUGUAUCUAAAACAUAGAAGAAUAAGGUCCAUAGAGGCUGUUGGAGAAGUGCUCAGCUGCUAUAC
rnacentral:precursor_RNA from 15 species